UGCCACAGCCAUGUCACCCUGCAGCCCAAGACCGGUUACUCACUGAAGCUAAGCAGGGCUGAGCCUGGUCAGUACCUGGAUGGGAGACCACUAGGGAGGUUGUUGUUGGAAAUGGUGU
rnacentral:rRNA from 1 species